AUGACUGCUAAGAGCCAAGGGAGGGUGAGAAGAUGCUGGCUGGCCAUGGUGUGCAAUCAAGAACGAGAGAUCUAUUCGCUCGUCCCUUCAGGAAGAAGGGUUACAUUCCAUUGAUGACGUAUCUGAGGACAUUUAAGAUCGAAGAUUUCGUCGAUAUCAAGGUUAACGAAGCCGUUCACAAGGGUAUGCCACACAAAUUCUACCAUGUCCGCAGCGGUAGGUUCUGGAACGUCACC